UACGGAGGAGGCAAGCGUUAUCCGGAAUUAUUGGGCGUAAGGCGUCCGCAGGUGGCUAUUCAAGUCUGCGGUCAAAGACUGGGGCUUAACCCUGGAAAGGCCGUGGAAACUGAAGAGCUAGAGUGCAGUAGGGGUAGAGGGAAUUCCCGGUGUAGCGGUGAAAUGCGUAGAGCUCGGGAAGAACAUCGGUGGCGAAAGCGCUCUGCUGGACUGCAACUGACACUCAGGGACGAAAGCUAGGGGAGCGAAUGGG
rnacentral:rRNA from 1 species